UUGAUCAAUAAUAGAUUUCUAUUUUUCAGGAAUUUUGUCGUUGUUUUUCUUCUCACCAAAAAUUUUCAGAACAUAAGCCGAUAGAAUAUAUAAGAAAUAUUGGAAUCUCAGCCCAUAUUGACUCCGGUAAAACAACUCUCACCGAACGUAUCCUUUAUUACACAGGAAGGAUAUCAGAAAUGCAUGAGGUAAAAGGUAAAGAUAAUGUUGGAGCUACAAUGGAUUCAAUGGAAUUGGAACGCCAACGUGGAAU